CUCCCGACGACCUCCUGCAGGACGUGCUCUCCCCCAACUCCAGCUGCGGCAGCUCGCUGGAUGGGGCGGCCAGCCCGGACAGCUACACAGAGGAGCCGGCCCCCAAGCACCCGGCCCGCAGCCUCCAUCCCGCCAUGCUGCCCGCUGCUGAUGGCGCAGGUCCCCGGUGAUGGGGCCGGGGCCACUCAGGACCAGCCGGGAGGGCACCCUCAGGCCGCCGGGACUGUGGGCUUCAGGGCAGGUGGGGUGAGGAUCGGGCAGCUCUGGAGCUGGGCAGUGGACUCGAUGAGCUGUCCUUGAUGUCUGAACUUUGCGGAGCCCUGACUGCCCCUGGGGCGGCUUUCCUGUUCCCUGCCUCAGUGGGAGAACAGAAAAAUGAAGCAAAGUGGUGUCUGUUUGCUGACGGUCUGGUCUGCACCCAGCUGAGCACAAACCCUGUCCUACGAAUUCCUGGCAUUUGGGAUUUUUGCUUGACUUCUGUUGCUUGACCCAGGCUCCAGGCCCACUUUGAGGGCAGGGGAACACCAGAGACCAGGCCCUGGCUGAGACCCAGACAAAUGCACAUUCACUCAGCAGAAUCUUCGACACGCCUUGAUCAUACACCUUUUGGUCAUCUGAGGUGUGUAUGGGAGGCAGGCUUACUGCAAAGGAGCGCCCCCCUCCAAUAGUUGUACAUGAAAUUUUUGUAAAUCAAGCCCUUAUCCUUCCUCUUUUAAAGAAAUACUACCGCAAGUCCUUUUGUAAAGUGAAGGAUUUUUUUGUAGAGUGGACCACUGCCCCUUGUUGGUCUCUUGUGUCAAUCCAGGUGGUGGACAUGGUUUUCUUAAGGCCAGGCCUGUCUGUGACCUGCGUUCCAAGCCCGUGGAACAAACCACACAAGUUCUGUAGACGUGUCAUUGUACCCUCAAGUUACCACGGCCACCUCCCACCAGGCGCGGCCUUUGAGACCCCCAACAUCCUAUUUUGCUGAACAUUAGGAUUGGUUUCUUUCCGAUCCUUGGAAGCUCCGGUGAGGGUCCCAUCUCUCUAAAGAUGGAGCACCUAUCCUCGGUCCUAAGGCUGUGUUUGCUUCCGAGUGGAUUAAUUUGACUUGGGAGUGAACGGAGGCCGCGCUACGGAUGGGUGAAUGGAUGCAGAGGUUCGAGGAGAUGGGUCACAGAUUCUAUCAGGAAGUCACGCUUCUGGCUUCCUCUUCUCUCAGACGUGCAGAAUGACGUGCAUAAGUUACCUCUCUCAAUGUCAGUUUCUCAUAAAUACCCUGGCUUGGUCUGUCUGCUGGGGCUGUGGUGUAGACCAAGUGGAAUCAUGCAAGUAGAAGCAUUCCGGGACUAGAAAGAGCUCUUUUGCCCUCAGUAUCAUUCCUGCAGUGGGGUUUCCCCUCCUGAGUCCAGGGCCGCAGCAGUGGGCCAGUCUGCCUGACUGCGCAGCUUUGGGCAAUUUAGGUUCCAAACUGCUUUUGCCUGACUUAUCCUGACUGUCCUCAUUUCUUCAGAUUGACCUCAUUUGUGUCUCCUUCCAAGGGGAGGCACGAGAGUGAGAAUGGAAAAAAGAUACGGGCAGAAUAUGUAAGACAUACAGCUUCCCCCAACGGGCCUGGGUAGGGAUGGGCAAAGCUUCAUGUCUUUGUAAGACCGAUAGAAGACCCAAAAGUUUAAUUUUCAUUUGCACCCCGCUCACCCCGCCCACCAUACCCGCCUCCUUCCUCUGCCUCGUCACCUAUGAAGAAAUGGCAACAUUCCAAGAAUAAUAUCUGUGCAAAGGGAAAAGAUGUAAAGGAGGAAGAAAGCAAGGAGAACAGAGAUGAUCGUAAGGACUGGAGGGAUUCGCAUCUUUUCGGGAAAAUUCAUAGGCUUUCAUUGGUGGUGGCAAACGACAAGAUGGUACAAACUUUCUCCUUUUCCGAAAACAGAACAAAGGGCACAGCAUCUGUAGUCCGCCGACAACUAUCUCGGCCCUUGGGGGUGGUCUGGUCGUACUUGUGAUUGCGAUGGUACAUGGCCCCCCACCGAAGGCUCGCCCCUGCCCGUGUACAUAGCGCGUUGUUCCUGUGGGCGGGCCCAGCACUUUCCGUCAAUGUCGUACUGUACGUGAUGCGUUGCGUUGGUCUCUGCAUUUUUCUGCAGAAGAGGAGUAACCGCUCCAGGUACCUUGACCUUUGUACAGCCUGGAGGCCAACACUGUGGGCGUGACUCUUUAGCGACACAACCCUUGUGGUGAUGAUGUGUGUAUAUACAUAAGGAUAUAUUGGGAAGAUUUCUAAAUAAAAGUUUUACAGAGGGGC
rnacentral:lncRNA from 1 species